rnacentral:rRNA from 1 species
AUCAGGUAGUAGUGGGUGUAGCGUACCUACUAGCCUACGACGGGUACGGGUUGUGAGAGCAAGAGCCCGGAGAUGGAUUCUGAGACACGAAUCCAGGCCCUACGGGGUGCAGCAGGCGCGAAAACUUUACAAUGCUGGAAACAGCGAUAAGGGAACCUCGAGUGCCAGGUUACAAAUCUGGCUGUCGUGAUGCCUAAAAAGCAUUGCAUAGCAAGGGCCGGGCAAGACCGGUGCCAGCCGCCGCGGUAACACCGGCGGCUCGAGUGGUAACCGUUAUUAUUGGGUCUAAAGGGUCUGUAGCCGGCCGGAUAAGUCUCCUGGGAAAUCUGGCAGCUUAACUGUCAGGCUUUCAGGAGAUACUGUCUGGCUCGAGGCCGGGAGAGGUGAGAGGUACUUCAGGGGUAGGGGUGAAAUCUUGUAAUCCUUGAAGGACCACCAGUGGCGAAGGCGUCUCACCAGAACGGACCUGACGGCAAGGGACGAAAGCUAGGGGCACGAACCGGAUUAGAUACCCGGGUAGUCCUAGCCGUAAACGAUACUCGCUAGGUGUCGGCCACGGUGCGACCGUGGUCGGUGCCGUAGGGAAGCCGUGAAGCGAGCCACCUGGGAAGUACGGCCGCAAGGCUGAAACUUAAAGGAAUUGGCGGGGGAGCAC